UCCAUGCCGUAAACGUUGGGAACUAGAUGUAGGGACCAUUCCACGGUUUCUGUGUCGCAGCUAACGCAUUAAGUUCCCCGCCCGGGGAGUACGGCCGCAAGGCUAAAACUCAAAGGAAUUGACGGGGGCCCGCACAAGCGGCGGAGGCAUGCGGAUUAAUUCGAUGCAACGCGAAGAACCUUACCAAGACUUGACAUAUACGAGAACGGGCUAGAAAUAGUUCACUCUUUGGA
rnacentral:rRNA from 1 species